AUGAUAAGUUGUCUAUACACACACACAAAAUAUUCUUUUACAACUUUCAAUCAUAAGGUUUCAUCAGUAUCAAUUUUCUCAUUUGAGUAAGUUGUCCACAGAAAGGCUUCCCCACAUUCGUUGUAUUUGUAGGGUUUAUCAUUACUAUGAGUUCUCUCAUGAACAAGUUUUGAGCCAUGAGUAAAGGUCUUCCCGAAUUCCUUACGUUGAUAAAGCUUCUCACCAGUAUGAAAUCUCUGAUGAACACUAAGUUGAUAGCCACUACCAAAGGCCUUCCCACAGUCUUUACAUUCAUAAGACUUCUCAUUAGUAUGGACUCUCUCAUGCUUAACUAGGCUUGAACCCCAACUGAAGGCCUUCCCACAUUCCUUACAUUUGAAAGGUUUCUCACCGGUAUGAAUUUUCUGAUGUUGAGUAAGGUGAUAGCCACGACUAAAAGCCUUCCCACAUUCUUUACAUUCAUAGGGUUUCUCCCCUGUAUGGAUUCUUUCAUGUUGAACAAGGCUUGAUCUACAAUUAAAACCCUUCCCACAUUCCUUACAUUUGAAAGGUUUCUCACCGGUAUGAAUUUUCUGAUGUUGAGUAAGGUGAUAGCCACGACUAAAAGCCUUCCCACAUUCUUUACAUUCAUAGGGUUUCUCCCCUGUAUGGAUUCUUUCAUGUUGAACAAGGCUUGAUCUACAAUUAAAAGCCUUCCCACAUUCCUUACAUUCAUAGGGUUUCUCACCAGUAUGAAUUCUUUCAUGUUGAAUAAGACUUGAUCUGCAAUUAAAAGCCUUCCCACAUUCCUUGCAUUCAUAGGGUUUCUCACCAGUAUGAAAUAUCUGAUGUCGAGUAAGUUGAUAGCCCCAACAAAAAGCCUUUCCACAUAUUUUACAUUCAUAAGGUUUCUUACCAGUAUGGAUUUUCUGAUGCGGAGUAAGUUGAUAGCCACGACUGAAGGCC
rnacentral:lncRNA from 1 species